rnacentral:rRNA from 1 species
UACGGAGGGUGCAAGCGUUAUCCGGAUUUACUGGGUUUAAAGGGUGCGUAGGUGGUUAGGUAAGUCAGUGGUGAAAUCUUCAAGCUUAACUUGGAAACUGCCAUUGAUACUAUUUAUCUUGAAUACUUUGGAGGUAAGCGGAAUAUGUCAUGUAGCGGUGAAAUGCUUAGAUAUGACAUAGAACACCAAUUGCGAAGGCAGCUUACUACACAGUUAUUGACACUGAGGCACGAAAGCGUGGGGAUCAAACAGG